ensembl:lncRNA
AUAUUGACUCGAAUGACAGAAGCAAGAAAUUGUGGCUAAAACUAGUCACUAACUUGUCAUUAUGUUUAUAAAUUGCAAUAAUAGAAGGGAUUUUUGUUCAAAGCAGAAAUUAUUUAUCUCGUAUCACGUAUAAAGAUGUGAAUGUUACCUGCAGUGAGACGUUUCUAAAGCAUAUGUGACAUGAAUGAAAUUCAAUAGCAGAUGAAGUUGAGUCUCUCCUCACAGUCCCUGUUCUCCCACAGCCGUUCUCUGUCUAAAGCCCCGCUGUGGGUUCUGCAUUGGACACUGGUGGUCCUGGACCCCUCCCUUGGGCCAGGCCUCGUACUCCAGAGGGUCCCACGCUCACCCACAGCCAGCGGUCCCCCAGGAAGCGCAAACCGAUCCACACCAGAUCUGUGGUGGGAUCGUCCUGGAUCUUUCUCAGGGCCAGAAGGUUCUGGGUGUCAGACACCAGACUUGUUCAGUGAUGGGAGACAGAUGUGCGUGAUGCUCCGUUCAGUGCCGUUGAGCCGGAAGCCAACGGGUAGGAUAGUGGCACAUGUCCAUGCUUCCCAUACUGUGCAGAUACACUCGCAAUGAAGAGCAUUUUGAAAACGACAAUCCAACCAUGGCGUUAAAGUCUGCAGGUAAUAUUAGAGAUGAAUGCGAAGCUGUUCAGGGUGAAGCCUGUGUUUCAGGUGUGGGUUGCCUGCUCAUAUAAGUCAGUGAAUGUCUCCUGAUGUGACUGAAUGUUUUUCUCUGCUCAUGUAAAUUAUGCUAAAUUCUAUCUUAAUAGCAAG